UGAGGGUGGGAGAGAAGUGAAGGAUCAGACAGCCCUCCCUGCUUACAGGUGCUUGUGUUGCGUUCUUUCUGCCUAUAACCUGCAACUAGAUGAUGUGGACAUUUUGGAAAACAUUCUGAAAGCAGUUAUCAUUAUGAUGAAUUGCUUUGGACAUCAAGUCACUAAAGGUUCCUGUUGGCUAUGCCAGUUUCUCCGACCUUCCUUGUGUUUGGUGAUCUAGACAGUUUUGAAGAACACUGAUAAGGCAACCUCAACCAACCCGGAGUAAAUCUCACUUUGAACAAGCAUUAACACUG